GGGUCUGUAGCUCAGCUGGUUAGAGCACCGCCUUGAUAAGGCGGGGGUCACAGGUUCGAGCCCUGUCAGACCCACCA
rnacentral:tRNA from 1 species